UGUAUCGCAACCAUGUAGUAUGCACGACGGGCGAAGCGAAGCCGCGGUAGUCGACGAGUUCACUCGAUUCGCCGCACAAGUUUGGAGGGAACAUCGACUCGUAGGUUAAAAUUGCUUCGUUUUCCGUCUAAUUGCGAACGAUUUUGCUUUUGUUCCAUAGGACUCUGAUUUGCGUACCCGAUCGUGCUCGCCUCGGGCCUUCCUGGAGAAUUUGGCCCUUCUUAGGGCAUGAAGACGUUAGCACUGGGGGCUUUACAUGCUUAAAAUCCAGCGAUGUUCGUGGGAGUCUCAGUACAGACAUUUUAAAGGUGUGUCAAUACUGGAUGUCACUUAAGCUCUGAACACAAUGAGGUGGUUGUCCAAAGGUGCAGGGGGGGCAUACAUGUGAGCCCUCAUGUUCCUAGGGGCCAAAUGUGAGACAAAUAGUAUCUCACAUACUUUAUUGAUUCAUGUGGUGCCAAAGAGCCAGGGAAGUUUAUAUUUUGUUCAACAGAUGUGAGUCAUUUGUUUAUAGGACCGUAUGGUAAGUGUCAAUUUCCAUCUUUCCAUGUACCCUACACUGUUUGCAUACUAGCUCAUGCCACCUGCUUUUUACUGCACCCCAAUGUACCCUCUGUUGCAACCUCUGUGCUCCUUCUCAAUGGCCAUUUCCCAUCUCUUUCCCACUUCCCAACACCUUUAAAAGCCAGGCUAAAGGUAAAAAAAAGGUAACCUACUGACCAUUUGGGUCUGUGACAUGAAUCACCUUUUGAUGGAGCAGGAGGCCUAUCUUCCUUCAUAUUGUUUUCUCUGGCUUUUCAUCAUGGAUAGAAGAAUUAAUAAUGUAUGGAAUAUGGACAUUGGACAUGACAGCUAGUAUUUGUUGAGCAAUGUGCUCUGAACAUGGUUUUGUACCCAAAAGUAAGUCAUGUCUGAGUGACAAAUUUCACAUUCUACUAUCUGAUUUCUCUAUGAAUUUAAGAAUUCAUAAUGUACAGACAGUAUGGGCAGUGGAAAUGACAUAAUAGCAUUUGUUCCAUCAACCAUCUGUCUCCGGGAUCCCUCUGGUGGAGCAAUGAGCUGUUGACAUGGUUUUGUGCCCUAAAGUAACCCCCUGCUGAGUGACAAGCUCUCAUCCAUCCCCUUUGAUGAUUGUCCACUUGAGGAAUGUUGGGGACUCUGCACCAAGAAUAUCAGAGCUGGCCUGUAUGGUUUGUACCUGUAAGUGCCUGAAGGGAACUGAUGAGUAAGUACACUGACCAUUUAUUAUGAUAAGGAUGGACUGCUCACCGCAUGAUUAACUUUGUUUUGUAAGCUUGCUGAAGGUCUCCCUCACCCCUCUUCUUGGCUCCACCUCUCAAUUAUGUAGUGAGAUGCAGAUGA